AUUGAACGCUGGCGGCAUGCCUUACACAUGCAAGUCGAACGGCAGCACGGACUUCGGUCUGGUGGCGAGUGGCGAACGGGUGAGUAAUAUAUCGGAACAUACCUUGUAGUGGGGGAUGACUAUCCGAAAGGAUAACUAAUACCGCAUACGAUCUAAGGAAGAAAGCGGGGGAUCUUCGUACCUCGUGCUAUAAGAGUGGCCGAUAUCUGAUUAGCUAGUUGGUGAGGUAAAGGCUCACCAAGGCGACGAUCAGUAGCUGGUCUGAGAGGACGACCAGCCACACUGGAACUGAGACACGGUCCAGACUCCUACGGGAGGCAGCAGUGGGGAAUUUUGGACAAUGGGGGCAACCCUGAUCCAGCAAUGCCGCGUGAGUGAAGAAGGCCUUCGGGUUGUAAAGCUCUUUUGUCAGGGAAGAAACGGUUGUGGCUAAUAUCCAUGGCUAAUGACGGUACCUGAAGAAUAAGCACCGGCUAACUACGUGCCAGCCGCCGCUGUAAGAC
rnacentral:rRNA from 1 species